rnacentral:rRNA from 1 species
UACGGAGGGUGCAAGCGUUAUCCGGAUUCACUGGGUUUAAAGGGUGCGUAGGCGGAUAUGUAAGUCCGUGGUGAAAUCUCUGGGCUUAACCCGGAAACUGCCAUUGAUACUAUUUGUCUUGAAUACUGUGGAGGUCAGCGGAAUAUGUCAUGUAGCGGUGAAAUGCUUAGAUAUGACAUAGAACACCAAUUGCGAAGGCAGCUGGCUACACAAAUAUUGACACUGAGGCACGAAAGCGUGGGGAUCAAACAGG